CUGAGCCUUGUCACCAUGCCAUCCAGCAGUGACUGGUCAGCACCUUGGAGGCCGGCGGGGCCACUGCUCCAUGUCACCAGAGCCAGCCUCACCUGCAGUCCUGGACAUCCCAGUAGUCAGGGCUAGAAGGGCCUUGGAGAUCCACGCAGGGAGGAUGUUGGAGGUGGGCUCUCCCAGCGUGUAAAGGAGACUCUGAGGCCCUGAGGGGUUGGGAUGAGCUCAAAGCCACCAGUUGGUCAGGAGAGGGAACCGAAGCAGGUUUUCCAGGGAGUUUACCAGUUUGCUCACCCAGACUCACAGCCCUGGCAUAACUACCUGGAACAGCACGCCCUGUGUGACCCUC
ensembl:lncRNA